AUUGAACGCUGGCGGCAUGCUUUACACAUGCAAGUCGAACGGCAGCGCGGGCUUCGGCCUGGCGGCGAGUGGCGAACGGGUGAGUAAUAUAUCGGAACGUACCCAAGAGUGGGGGAUAACGUAGCGAAAGUUACGCUAAUACCGCAUACGAUCUAAGGAUGAAAGCAGGGGAUCGCAAGACCUUGUGCUCCUGGAGCGGCCGAUAUCUGAUUAGCUAGUUGGUGGGGUAAAGGCCCACCAAGGCAACGAUCAGUAGCUGGUCUGAGAGGACGACCAGCCACACUGGAACUGAGACACGGUCCAGACUCCUACGGAAGGCAGCAGUGGGGAAUUUUGGACAAUGGGGGCAACCCUGAUCCAGCAAUGCCGCGUGAGUGAAGAAGGCCUCGG
rnacentral:rRNA from 1 species